CCUACGGGAGGCAGCAGUGAGGAAUAUUGGUCAAUGGGCGGAAGCCUGAACCAGCCAAGUAGCGUGCAGGAUGACGGCCCUACGGGUUGUAAACUGCUUUUAUACGGGAAUAACGCGCCUUACGUGUAGGGCUUUGCAUGUACCGUAUGAAUAAGGACCGGCUAAUUCCGUGCCAGCAGCCGCGGUAAUCCGGAAGGUCCGGGCGUUAUCCGGAUUUAUUGGGUUUAAAGGGGGCGUAGGCCGCAUGUCAAGCCUGCUGUGAAAUGUGCGGGCUCAACCCGGGCCUUGCAGCGCAAACGGGCGGGCUUGAGUCCGCGGAAAGCAGGCGGAAUUCGUCGUGUAGCGGUGAAAUGCUUAGAUAUGGCGAAGAACCCCAAUUGCGAAGGCAGCUUGCUGCAGCGGAACUGACGCUGAUGCACGAAAGCGCGGGUAUCGAACAGGAUUAGAUACCCGUGUAGUC
rnacentral:rRNA from 1 species